rnacentral:rRNA from 1 species
CGACGGUGAAGCCCCGCUUGCGGGGUGGAUCAGUGGCGAACGGGUGAGUAACACGUGAGCAACCUGCCCCUGACUCUGGGAUAAGCGCUGGAAACGGCGUCUAAUACUGGAUACGAGACGUGAUCGCAUGGUCAACGUUUGGAAAGAUUUUUCGGUUGGGGAUGGGCUCGCGGCCUAUCAGCUUGUUGGUGAGGUAAUGGCUCACCAAGGCGUCGACGGGUAGCCGGCCUGAGAGGGUGACCGGCCACACUGGGACUGAGACACGGCCCAGACUCCUACGGGAGGCAGCAGUGGGGAAUAUUGCACAAUGGGCGCAAGCCUGAUGCAGCAACGCCGCGUGAGGGAUGACGGCCUUCGGGUUGUAAACCUCUUUUAGCAGGGAAGAAGCGAGAGUGACGGUACCUGCAGAAAAAGCACCGGCUAACUACGUGCCAGCAGCCGCGGUAAUACGUAGGGUGCAAGCGUUAUCCGGAAUUAUUGGGCGUAAAGAGCUCGUAGGCGGUUUGUCGCGUCUGCUGUGAAAUCUGGGGGCUCAACCCCCAGCCUGCAGUG